rnacentral:tRNA from 1 species
AUAGUCGGGAUAGCUCAGUUGGUAGAGCAGAGG